rnacentral:rRNA from 1 species
GCUCAGAGCGAACGCUGGCGGCAGGCUUAACACAUGCAAGUCGAGCGGGCAUAGCAAUAUGUCAGCGGCAGACGGGUGAGUAACGCGUGGGAACGUACCUUUUGGUUCGGAACAACACAGGGAAACUUGUGCUAAUACCGGAUAAGCCCUUACGGGGAAAGAUUUAUCGCCGAAAGAUCGGCCCGCGUCUGAUUAGCUAGUUGGUGAGGUAAUGGCUCACCAAGGCGACGAUCAGUAGCUGGUCUGAGAGGAUGAUCAGCCACAUUGGGACUGAGACACGGCCCAAACUCCUACGGGAGGCAGCAGUGGGGAAUAUUGGACAAUGGGCGCAAGCCUGAUCCAGCCAUGCCGCGUGAGUGAUGAAGGCCCUAGGGUUGUAAAGCUCUUUUGUGCGGGAAGAUAAUGACGGUACCGCAAG